UUUUGUGUAUCUGGGUGUCUUCUGAAGAUUCUCUUCUUUGGAAAGUCCCUGUGGAAGUGUCAGCUGAAAUGAAUAACAACCGGAAACAAUAAAAAGGAGAAAGAUAAAAUCAGGAAGAGUAAGCUCUGUUUAUAGAUGUGAACAGCUUUUCCAGUAAACCACCAAAUAAAGAAUUUCUUCGAACUUGGAAAGUCUGAGAAUGGGACGGUAGGAAAAGCAAUUGGGCUCAGAAAAGCUUCAGAAUGGGAAAAAUGUAAAUAAAAAAUGGGAGAGAAAAAGAAAGGACAGAAGGGUUUCUUUUUCUCUUGAGAGCACUUGCAGAAGAAGAGAGAGGUUGAGUCAAGAUCUGCACACCGCAGACGUGGUGUUACCCACCCCCAGAGCCAAAGCAGAAAGGUAGUGCUCCUGGUGUGAGCUUUAGAGAGCUGCUGUUUGCGCCCUGUUGAAGUUUCAAAUGCAUUGCUAUAUUAAAAAUGGUUCAUUUUAUUUAGUUAAUGUUUUAUGAAAAAGAGAAGUGGCAGCAAUAAGAAUCAAAUACAAUUAUAUCUAUGUUUUAGGAAGGAAAAAUGUAGACUAUACGGCAACAUGGGCACUGUGAGCACCUAAUGCAUCAAGCUUGUUUGUAAGAAGAAAAUUAGCAUUAACUGUCGAAUAAUUCAACUAAUUCCCGUUGAAUUGAGGCUAUGAGUGGUCAUUCUGGCAUGAAGAAGGGCAACACUUCCAAUGGAGAGCUGCUGGGGAGAUGUUUUCUUGCUGUUCCAUGGAAGAAUCAUAAAAUCAAAGAAUCAUUCACGUUGGAAAAGACUUCUGAGAUCUCCAAGUCCAGCAUCAACCCACCACAUCCCUGUGGUUCUGGGGCACCUCCAGGGAUGUACCUCCUCCACCUGUGCACCACCACUCCUUCUGAGAAGAUAUUUUUUCCUAGCAUAUCCAACUGUGGAUCCCAGAUCCACAACAAAGCCCAAGGCUCUAAGGAAUUUAGGUGCAUGCAUGCAAUGGAUGUUUUCAUCCCAGAGGGCUUCUUCUAGCACCCAAAACAUGGAGGGUGGAUGGCUCUGCAGCCCUCGGUCUUGCUACACAGUGUUCUUUGCUGACAGAAGGAAGAGAGCUGGAGAUGACUGGGAGCUCUGUGCUGCCGAAAAGGAAGAGAACAGGAGAUGGAGGAGAGUUGCAUGGUGCUGAGUAAUACGGCCAGUGGUGCUGACAGGUUUGAUGUGUGCAUAGUUUGGUGGGUAUCCAGCUGAGCAGAGGAAUGAAUGUGCAUGCACGUGGCUGUUGAAUAAGCUGCUUUUUACUUGCAGGAAUGGCCUCUAUGACUGGAGAUACAGUCAGGAUGCUGGACAGUUGGAAUCCUGCAGCAAAAGGAGAACUGUGGGAGUGCGCCAGGCUUUUAUCCAUUUGUAUUUUCUCUAUUAGUAAAAGGAGCUCUCUGGUACUCUCACAGAACAGCCUCAUUGAAUUCAAGAAGAAUCAGCAGGUCGUUCUUUCCUUAAACAACAACUCGACAUCGCAAGCACAAGAAGUGCAAGACGCUGCUCGCUGGAUGGGGCCACGUAGUUUGUGUUCUGCUCUUCCCUCUGCUCACUUCUGCUUCUAAUCUAGGAGGCUUUGUUUUCCCGACAUCGUUUAAUCAAACGUAGAUCUAAUCAGUGCCAGAGCAUUAACAAGCGUGAGCCCCCGCGAUUCUCCGCAACCAUGCAAAACGUUGGAUAACAGCAACUUCCCGUGCUGCUCUUUCUGCAUCAGGUCCUGAAAUCCCCCAAUUACAUUUCGUACCAAGAAAUGAGUAAUGCUCAUUGCUAAGUCAUGUUAGCGGGGUGCUUCCAAGGCCCUGCCUCCCACUGCUGUGGUACGUGAAGCACGUGGAGAACAGAGCCAUGGCCAUGUGCAGGACUGCUGGAUUCGGGAUUUACCCCUGCUUUCCUAUUGACACCAUGGGAGGGCAUUAAUAAAAUAAUAAAUAAUGAUAAUGAAUGA